AUUCUCUUCUGGAACAGACAUCGUCUAAAGCCUGCAAAUAACGCGAAAAACCCAUGCAAUCAAUAAGGAAACGAUGUUGAGGAGCUAAACUGAAACGAAUGUUAAUAAUCAGGCUACGACCGUUUAUAUGUAUAAUGGUAUUUGGUUUGUGGACAUUCGAUGACUUCUUGAAGACAACCCCGUAGGUGUCGAACAUCAAACUAUUUUAGGAGAAAGGAGAAGCCUUUCCGACUUGUUCGAAAAUAGAAACCGUAUCGUCCAUGAGGAAAACUCUUAUAAUGAACUGCCUGUCUUGAUUAGCCGGUACGUUCGAUAUCAUUUGCGCUCUGAAUCUCAAAACGUAGCUGUCCAAGCCCUGUCUAAGGAAGAGGAAAAGAGGAAGAAAAGGUGGUUGCGGUAUCACCCUGAAACAGUUGCCGAGGGAAUCUUCGUAGGACCCAAAACCAUUGUAGGGUGGAAUGUAUCUCUCCACUUUCACGCAAAUCUCGCCAACAUUUCGAGGUCUUUCCAUGGGCGUGAAGUCAUCCAGGC